UCCAGUGGAGGGGGAAGGGAGAUAGUUGUGGACAAACAAGUACACAAAAUAAACAAAUCCCUUUGUUCUGGACGGGACAGAAUGCCAUUGUUCUGGAACUCAUCGCGGUGAUGUUAACAAUCGUUUUUACCCUCUGUGACUGUCUCGCCUCGUCUUGGAAGAAACCGAUUACAUACACACUGGACAUGUUUCUCUGAUGAUCUAUGCCAUGCAAACACUCAAAUCUGCUCUUGAUGCUCACUGAUCACUUGAGAAGCCGUUCUGGGCUGGUGUUAAUGAGGAUGUGGGCUGUGUAUCCAUGGACCGUUAAAUCCAAUCUGACAGACAGCUGAGCUUCAGUCAAGCCUGUCGGUCGAGUCCACAAUCCCGCCCUCAAUCUACCCCGUCUUACCCCCCAGAGGUUUGUUUUGUUUCUAAGGACAACUUUACAGCUCAGUGGUGAAACCCUCAUCCCAGACAACAAACAGAAAAUGCCACUUCUACAACAUAUCUUUCGCACUUUGUUUUUCACACUUCCUAUUAAUUUGAUGUAAUAAAACAGGAUAUGAAUAGGGUAAUAAUGUAUGGAAUAUCUGGUCAUAAUUUACCUCACAGUCAAAAGAAAUUAUAAUUUGAAUAAAAAAAUUAAGUCUUUUUUUUUUAUUUUAUUUUUUAGGAUUUUUUUGCAUUUUGACAAACACAUUCCCCUUCCAA